UACGUAGGGGGCGAGCGUUGUCCGGAUUCAUUGGGCGUAAAGAGCUCGUAGGCGGCUUGGCAAGUCGGGUGUGAAAACUUCAGGCUCAACCUGGAGCGGCCACUCGAUACUGCCAUGGCUUGAGGCCGGGAGAGGGUAGCGGAAUUCCCAGUGUAGCGGUGAAAUGCGUAGAUAUUGGGAGGAACACCAGUGGCGAAGGCGGCUACCUGGACCGGUUCUGACGCUGAGGCGCGAAAGCGUGGGUAGCAAACAGG
rnacentral:rRNA from 1 species